AUUCCUAUCAAAUAAUUUUCCUUCCGCAUUAAUCGCAUAACCACAUCAUGAAUAGAAAGAUUCUUAACUACACAAAGUUGUUGCAAUUCUUGUAACUGAACGACCCUUUCAAGAAUGGAUGCCCAUGGAAUGGUCUGUAUCUCCUUGUCUGUCACAUGUAGACUUCUGCAGUAGAACUGACGGAUUGCCAGGGUUUCUCUUAGCUGUGCGAAAAACCUUAAG
rnacentral:misc_RNA from 1 species